rnacentral:ncRNA from 16 species
UGUCUCCUCCACCCUCCUCCUUUGGUGUGGAUUUCAGCCCGGGCCCGAAAGUGCUCGGGCUUUUUCUU